rnacentral:rRNA from 1 species
UGGGGAAUAUUGGACAAUGGGCGAAAGCCUGAUCCAGCAAUGCCGCGUGAGUGAUGAAGGCCUUAGGGUUGUAAAGCUCUUUUACCCGGGAUGAUAAUGACAGUACCGGGAGAAUAAGCUCCGGCUAACUCCGUGCCAGCAGCCGCGGUAAUACGGAGGGAGCUAGCGUUAUUCGGAAUUACUGGGCGUAAAGCGCACGUAGGCGGCUUUGUAAGUUAGAGGUGAAAGCCUGGAGCUCAACUCCAGAAUUGCCUUUAAGACUGCAUCGCUUGAAUCCAGGAGAGGUGAGUGGAAUUCCGAGUGUAGAGGUGAAAUUCGUAGAUAUUCGGAAGAACACCAGUGGCGAAGGCGGCUCACUGGACUGGUAUUGACGCUGAGGUGCGAAAGCGUGGGGAGGCAAACAGGAUUAGAUACCCUGGUAGUCCACGCCGUAAACGAUGAUAACUAGCUGUCGGGGCUCUUAGAGCUUCGGUGGCGCAGCUAACGCA